rnacentral:rRNA from 1 species
GACAGAGGUGCCGAGCGUUAGGCGGAAUCACUGGGCUUAAAGCGUGUGUAGGCGGGCCGUUAAGUGCCCCGUGAAAUCCCCCGGCUCAACCGGGGAACGGCGGGGCAUACUGGCGGCCUUGAGACACCUAGGGGCGAGCGGAACAGGCGGUGGAGCGGUGAAAUGCGUAGAUAUCGCCUGGAACGCCGACGGUGAAAACAGCUCGCUGGGGGUGUUCUGACGCUGAGACACGAAAGCCAGGGGAGCGAACGGG